rnacentral:misc_RNA from 1 species
AAAAUCUCACAUGAUUUCUAGGGAGAAAUGGUGCAUCUUUUUUAGCAAAUACUGUUACAAAUUAAACAAAAUCAGAUAUCAAGAUUGUUGAAUUCAAACUAAAUAUUAAAAUAAAUAAUCUAAAUUGCUGAAACUUGCAGUCUGAAGCAAUAGUAGCAUAUGCUUCAAGAAUCUGUUCUCCACUCUAUUGACCAGUCAUUAAUUUGGAUCAGAUUCUUGGUCCGAGCUCAGAACCAGAACUUCAUUGCGGAUGAUUCUUGGUCUAUGUAAAAUUUUAACAGCAGUUGAAAAAUGGGAUAGCGACCAUCUUCAAUUAGUUGGAAAUAGAAGAGAGAAAUGUCUCCGUCCAUCAGCAGCAAUUCAAACAAGAGAAGAACUCUGCUUACAUGCGAUUGUAAAACACCAUCAACUCCAAGAGGAUGAUCAUAUCUAUUGUUACUGGGCUGCAGAUGGAUACUCCUACCAUGGUCAAGUCACUCUGAAACUUUUAUGAUACAAAUUGGAGCUUACAAUCUCUAACUUGAUAUAUCAUAAUUAUGAAAAUCAUAUAAUUAAACCUAUCCUGCACCCAUACUUCACAUGCAAUAAUGAAGUACUAUUGAGUAUUACAAGACGACAAGUGAUGAAAGGUCAUAUAGUUAGUAAAUCUACUGAAAUUAGGGGAGGGAACUGCAGAGCAAACAAGAAACAACAAAUUAAGAGAACCGCCAUAACUAAUGCACUACAAUCACCUAACACUGCAAAGGAGCCUGCAAUAAAAGCAACAAACAUCCCACAGAUGGCAAAGCUGGAGAAUACCAUUGCAAAAUAUGUCCAGAAUGCAAUGGUGUUUCGUUUCACCAACAAGGCAGUGAAAUUAUGAAAAAUCACCGAUGCAAUCGAGCAAGAAAAGGCUAUGGUAUUACCCACCACAAAUGCUCUAAAGGAUGCUUUCUUGAUAAAAACUGGCAUGCCUUCAUCAGGUUUCUCAUUUUUGAAUCCUCCAGGAACAGUGAAAGCUGCUGCAAAUGAGACAGUGGCUAUGAGAGUUGAUACCAAUAUAUUGGUGCUAGCCAUAUUCCUAAGAUGGUUAAAGGAUAAAACUUCUGGUCCCUCUGGUUUUAAUCUUUUAUCUUCAACCUCUUCAUCCCCAUGAUUUUCGACAACGCCCUUUUCACGCUCUGUUCUUGCUUCAAUUUUCUUGUUGCGACCUUGCUCUAAACUUGCUAGACCACCAGCAAUUGACAAUUGAAAUAUCAUCCAACCCUGUCUGAAAAAGUUGAGUACCCUCCUUGAAUCAAUGAUGUCCACAACAGCAAGACAAUCCUUGUUCAUGAUUGUCUUGUCUGCCCUUCUAUCAUUUGUCAGCAAUAGAAAGAUCUCCCCAUGUCCCUGCAAAGUCGCUAGAUGCAAUGCUGUGUUUCCUUCAUUAUCUUGGUCAUUUAUAUUAUCCUCAGCGACCUGUUUCAAAAUAAACUUGACAGCAUUUCCCUUUCCACUUUCAGCAGCAACAAGAAGAGCUGUCCGGCCAUUGUUGUCUUU